rnacentral:snoRNA from 1 species
CCCCUCCAGAUUCCUCACCCAUCAGAUCUAAACAUUGGGCUAAGUGUCUAUAAAAGGAGGAAAAGGAAAACUGAAACAGACAUGGAUUCUUUUGUGACAUACAAGG